rnacentral:tRNA from 1 species
GGAGCUGUAGCUCAGUUGGUUAGAGCGCCUGCCUGUCACGCAGGAGGCCGCGGGUUCGAGCCCCGUCAGCUCCG